AAGGGCUUAGGAUAGCAUUAGACCAAGGGCCUUCAAAGCCCUCAGCGGGAGUGAGACUCUCUCAGCCUUUG
rnacentral:tRNA from 1 species